GUUUAGCUUGGAUCAACCAUCUCUUUUGUAGCAAGCCAAUUUUCCUUAAAUGAAUGUUUAAGUUUUUUCUCUCAAGUUUUGCUUCGUAGGGGAAAAUAUGUUUGAACAUACAGGAAUCAUAUCUGGUCAUUUCACCAGCAUUGUUACAGACAACCAAAUGUAAAAAGGCAGGCUGCCUAAAAACUUUCUGAUUCAAACUUUAAAAUGGAGCACGAUUGCAUGAUAAGAAAUGGACAAUCAUUUUGGUACGUACUGGCUCAAUCUAUAUUUGAACAAUUUUGUACAUGCUAUCUAUGUUAGUAUUUUCAAUAAAACAUGAAUAAGGUACAAAAUUUU